rnacentral:rRNA from 1 species
UGGGGAAUAUUGCACAAUGGGCGAAAGCCUGAUGCAGCGACGCCGCGUGAGGGAUGACGGCCUUCGGGUUGUAAACCUCUUUCAGCAGGGAAGAAGCGAAAGUGACGGUACCUGCAGAAGAAGCGCCGGCUAACUACGUGCCAGCAGCCGCGGUAAUACGUAGGGCGCAAGCGUUGUCCGGAAUUAUUGGGCGUAAAGAGCUCGUAGGCGGUUAGUCGCGUCUGCUGUGAAAACUCGAGGCUCAACCUCGGGCUUGCAGUGGGUACGGGCUGACUAGAGUGCGGUAGGGGUGACUGGAAUUCCUGGUGUAGCGGUGGAAUGCGCAGAUAUCAGGAGGAACACCGAUGGCGAAGGCAGGUCACUGGGCCGCAACUGACGCUGAGGAGCGAAAGCAUGGGGAGCGAACAGGAUUAGAUACCCUGGUAGUCCAUGCCGUAAACGUUGGGCACUAGGUGUGGGGUCCAUUCCACGGAUUCCGUGCCGCAGCAAACGCAUUAAGUGCCCCGCCUGGGGAGUACGGCCGCAAGGCUAAAACUUAAAGGAAUUGACGGGGUCAUAGCUGUUU